AGCCUAACUCUGCAGAGUGUGGCAUCGUCCGUGACUCCUGUCCUCCCGCCCUUGCGCUGGGCUAGACGUCCUUUCACGUCAUCUCUUCCACAAAGCCUCUCCACCGCACACCAUCCCCGCAAAAAAUCUGCUCCUUGGGGUCAAAAUCGAUGUCGAAUUCAUCUUUGUUUCCCAAAGCACCUGGCACAAGGAGAAGUCAUCCACAGAGUCAUGAGGACACUCAGGCAGCCUCUGGAGAGGCCCACGUGGGAAGCGACUGAGGCCUUCCAUGAGCUACCAGCACCACCUUGCCAGCCCGGGCCUGCACCAC